AGUGAACGCUGCGGUAGGCCUAACACAUGCAAGUCGAACGGCAGCACAGUAAGAGCUUGCUCUUACGGGUGGCGAGUGGCGGACGGGUGAGGAAUACAUCGGAAUCUACUUUUUCGUGGGGGAUAACGUAGGGAAACUUACGCUAAUACCGCAUACGACCUACGGGUGAAAGCAGGGGAUCUUCGGACCUUGCGCGAUUGAAUGAGCCGAUGUCGGAUUAGCUAGUUGGCGGGGUAAAGGCCCACCAAGGCGACGAUCCGUAGCUGGUCUGAGAGGAUGAUCAGCCACACUGGAACUGAGACACGGUCCAGACUUCUACGGGAGGCAGCAGUGGGGAAUAUUGGACAAUGGGCGCAAGCCUGAUCCAGCCAUACCGCGUGGGUGAAGAAGGCCUUCGGGUUGUAAAGCCCUUUUGUUGGGAAAGAAAAGCAGCAGGUUAAUACCCCGCUGUUCUGACGGUACCCAAAGAAUAAGCACCGGCUAACUUCGUG
rnacentral:rRNA from 1 species